rnacentral:rRNA from 1 species
UGGGGAAUAUUGGACAAUGGGCGCAAGCCUGAUCCAGCCAUGCCGCGUGAGUGAUGAAGGCCCUAGGGUUGUAAAGCUCUUUCACCGGUGAAGAUAAUGACGGUAACCGGAGAAGAAGCCCCGGCUAACUUCGUGCCAGCAGCCGCGGUAAUACGAAGGGGGCUAGCGUUGUUCGGAUUUACUGGGCGUAAAGCGCACGUAGGCGGACUUUUAAGUCAGGGGCGAAAUCCCGGGGCUCAACCCCGGAACUGCCUUUGAUACUGGAAAGUCUUGAGUAUGGUAGAGGUGAGUGGAAUUCCGAGUGUAGAGGUGAAAUUCGUAGAUAUUCGGAGGAACACCAGUGGCGAAGGCGGCUGCACUGGACCAUUACUGACGCUGA